UACAAAUUUAUAACAUUUUAAGACAAAAACACCCCUUAUCUUUAUCAAUAUUUACACCAUCCAAAAAAACAAACCCUAAAAUUCCAUCUUCUUCGUUCCAUCUUCUCUGCCUGCUGCUGCCUUUUCCCGUAGGCUUCCUCCUCAUCCUCUCCUGUAGCAGCUGCAUCUCCAGGUUCGAUCUUGAUCUUCUCCCGUAGCCGUUGCAUCUCCAGGUUUGAUCUCAAUCUUCUCCCGUAGCUGCUGCAUCUCCAGAAGCAAUUGAUUGAGUUGGAUGUGAUGCUAUUGGAGCUGCAAAUCGUUGAGUCUUCAAAAUGAACACAUUGUGAUGUGCUAGUUGGGGAGUUGGAGAAUCAAACCGUAGAUGGAGGGCAAGUGGUUGUGCAAGAAGAAGUCUUCUGAGAAGAGCUCUGGAGAAACUUGUAUAAAUAACAAACACCUCUCUGUAAUUCAUUCAUUGGUCAAGGAAUACAAUCUUUAAUUAUUCAC